rnacentral:rRNA from 1 species
UAGUGGCGGACGGGUGAGUAACGCGUGGGAAUCUGCCCUCAGGAGGGGGAUAACGGUUGGAAACGACCGCUAAUACCCCAUAUGCCGAGAGGUGAAACGAAAUUCGCCUGAGGAUGAGCCCGCGUCUGAUUAGCUAGUUGGUGGGGUAAAGGCCUACCAAGGCAUCGAUCAGUAGCUGGUCUGAGAGGAUGAUCAGCCACACUGGGACUGAGACACGGCCCAGACUCCUACGGGAGGCAGCAGUGGGGAAUUUUCCGCAAUGGGCGCAAGCCUGACGGAGCAACGCCGCGUGAGGGAUGAAGGCCUCUGGGCUGUAAACCUCUUCUCUCAAGGAAGAAGAACUGACGGUACUUGAGGAAUAAGCCACGGCUAA